CACUUUCCUUUCUCCCAUCUUGAUUUCCCCCAAACAUGCAUCUCAAAUCCCUAAUUGAAACGGCGCCUUCUUUCCAUCUCUCACCUUCUCCGGCGACUUCAUGCCUGGAGUGACUCCGACCUCUCUUCGUUCCCGGCGAGGACGCCGUUUCGAAUGGGUCGCCGAAUCUCAUGUUUCACAAUGACGGCGCACUUGGUGUCUCCGUCUGCCCUUUCACGAUGGCUUCGGUGUUGCCGUCGGAGCCUCGCUGGUGUGCUCUUCGCGAGGGAGUCACUCCGACGCCGAUGACCCGCUUCAGCUCCCUCCGUCCGUGUUCGCAAAUGCCGUUGCUGUUCCAUUCGUCUAUCUCUCUCUCUCGACGAAGGCGUCGGUCUGAAAUCGCCCGUCGACGUCCGCUGUUGCUCUGCAGUGUUCGUGGGGCUGCCCUCGAUGCCCCGUCGUCGUUCGGUCAGAGCCGAUCAACGCUUCUCCAAGCUAAGUUCUAUCAUUUUCUUUAUUUCGUUGAUUUGUGUCUGAAAACUUAAUCGUUCAUCUACUGAAAAGAGCUUGAUAGUUGGCCAAAAAUGUUGUUCUUUUAAUUACAGAGGCUUGCUGUUGUUGUGGGGCUUUUAUCAUCAUGCCUCUAAGUUCCGACCUAGUUAGGCUGCCUAAAGCUUACUAGUGCUCUAUCGGUGUUAUGCUCAUGCUUAGCUAUGAGAUGAUGGUGUUAUGAGCAUGCUAGUUUCACCUAUGAAUUUGUGAACUAUAUGCUGUAAAACUGAGCUAUUGGAGGAUUACCUGUGUGAGUUGUUAUGGCUGUUGUCUCUAGCUCGGCUCCUCCCUUCUCCUUAGCUUGUAGUGUGCUAUUGAUUGUGGUAAUGAAGGAGGAAGGACUGAGGGGCUAUUUAUAAUGGUUUGCCUAACUGAAAGCCUGAGGAAGGCUGGUGUACUUGGCUGAAAAGGGAAAUCUCAGGCUGAGCAGCUGGCUACUCUGUCUGCAGCUCUGCAGAGUUCGUCCCUUCUCCCUUGGCCUCUUUCUAACUGAUUUUGGUGGCAUAUGGGGGGUCUACUCGUGAGUUUAUGGUGGUUGCCACAGAGCUCCAGUCUCUGGCGGUUCUCUAUGUUGCGAUCCAACUGAUUUCUCUGAUGUGGUCUUGCAGGUACGAACUGGGCAAGGUUGUUUGGCUGGGUGGAGUGCACCUGCCGUUGCGCAGUGAACUGGCUGGACAACCUGCUGGAAGGGCAGGCCAUUUCUGGUGGUGGCAGCCUUCAUCCUUGCCUAUUUUGAGAAAAAGGGCUGCUAAGCAUGGCUCUCGCCCUGGGUGUACCAAUUCGUCGGGCCGUUUGAGCUGGGCCGAGACCAGGCCUGAGAUACAUCUUGUGACUCGUAAUUGUGUGUAUCUGCUGGCAUUCAAAUUGCAAGGAAUAUGGAAAUCCCACUUGUGAAUGAUUUGGGGUACCACAAGCAAUUUAUCGGGUGCUUGCAGAUCUCUGAAGUCGUUGAUGGUAUGAAAGAUAUCAUGGCAUUUAGUCAGAUCACAAAAAUGGGAGCAAUUGAGUGCUUGAACAAGUAUUCGCGAGGAAGGAACCUCCAUCACCAAGGACUGCUACUACCUGUAGACGUCACGACAACCAGAAUUCAUCACGGCUAGAAAGCUUAGGGUUGGCUUUCCUCGCCUCAACUGGCUUGGCUUCCCCAAGCUUGCUCAGGUCCCAAUCUUCUGAACGCAGUCGUCAAUCCGUAGUCGACAAGAUGUUUCUCGCAGGGGAAAGAGCGUCCACCAAAAAAUUUGCAAUGAGCAAGAAACUGUGUUGCAGUGAGAGCUCUAAAGCCGCUACUGCACAGGUAAUUUUUCUGUAAUGCUUCGGCUGGUAGACCGUGUUUUACUUAUUUACAGCAAAAACUGUGACUGCUUGUUAUCUUUUGAGAUAGUUGGAAAAUAGAUAUAGUAGUUAAGGAGCCU